CGCGAAGAACCUUACCUGGUCUUGACAUCCACAGAACUUUCCAGAGAUGGAUUGGUGCCUUCGGGAACUGUGAGACAGGUGCUGCAUGGCUGUCGUCAGCUCGUGUUGUGAAAUGUUGGGUUAAGUCCCGCAACGAGCGCAACCCUUAUCUUUUGUUGCCAGCGGUCCGGCCGGGAACUCAAAGGAGACUGCCAGUGAUAAACUGGAGGAAGGUGGGGAUGACGUCAAGUCAUCAUGGCCCUUACGACCAGGGCUACACACGUGCUACAAUGGCGCAUACAAAGAGAAGCGACCUCGCGAGAGCAAGCGGACCUCAUAAAGUGCGUCGUAGUCCGGAUUGGAGUCUGCAACUCGACUCCAUGAAGUCGGAAUCGCUAGUAAUCGUGGAUCAGAAUGCCACGGUGAAUACGUUCCCGGGCCUUGUACACACCG
rnacentral:rRNA from 1 species